GUGCUUGAUUGUCUCACCCAGCUAGAAGACCAACUGUAAUGGGUAUUGUGUGAAGUUGCACUGAAUUUGGAGUACAAGGAGAAUAAGUUUAGCCCAUGCAAAGGAAGCCAUCAUAGCUCAUGGCACUGCCUGCCUCUGUGACGGUGGCUGCGCUUCUGUGGGAGAGUGUGCUUCAAAGCACCGUGACAGGAUUCUGGUCCUCCAAACACUUUGACUUCAAGUUGAGAAGAGGGCUUCUACACCCAGGUAAAGCGUUCUGCUCACCUACCCGCAUUCUCUUUUCUCCACAUUCCCUACCUGGAUCAUCAUCUUCUCCCUCUGAAGAACUCCAAGAGGUCUUGUAAGGUCAUUUCCAAUAACACAACUACCAUACCAUAUUUACUGAUAAGAACAGUAAAGAGACAAGAGAAACACGAGAUUUGCUCUUCACUUGUGUUGACUUCAGCCAAGAGUCUUAGUUUCAUGACCAUAGCUUGCUUCAGAACUAUUGAACUCUGAAAGCGUGAUGAUCCUCAAACCCGGAAGGAAAUUGGAGACGAGUAAGCCAGACAAGAGUCAGAGAUGGUGAUGGUGCUGGGAUGGAAGAACAAUUAGGAGCCUGCUCAUUAGUGUUUUGUGCAUGCUGAAAUACCUAUGCUGAUUUGCCUGGGAUCGAGUCCCAGUUCCACUUACGAUUCCAGCUCCCUGCUACUGUGCAUUCUGGAAAGCAGCAGAUGAUGGCUCAAGUUCUGGGAUUCCUGCCACCCAACUCUGGCUGCUGGUCAAAGAAGCUGAGUUAACUGGCAUAUGCCAGACUGGGAAGGCAAUGACCAAACGUGAAAGCCGAGAUGAGAUGUGAGAAGCUAUACAAGAAUGGAAAAUAAUUCCCCAGAACCAGUUCCUAGGCUUUACAGGUACUCUUCCAAACUGUGACACUGAGGAUACACAAAACUGCCUUUAAAAGUCAGUGGGUCAUCUAGUGAAUAAGAAAGCUGAAACUAAAUUUCCAUGAAGUGAAAGUUACAUGUUCUUAGUCUUUGAUAAGGACUAAAAUCUAAAAGGUUAUUGGUAUCAAGCUUAUUUGUAAGGUUGCACUUGAAAACAUUGUCAUGCAGAUUGUAUCUCCAAAACCCUGCAUCUAUUUGACAAGAACUGAAAUAUCUGAAUAAGUUGCUUCAGGAAGGAAAGAUCUCAAGUGAGAAUUCUUGCAUCCCACAAGUGAAUAAUAUCAGAAAAAUCCCUCAGCCUUAGUGGGUUAUGAUACAAACUACUCUCCCACUGAGAGGCUGUCUCCAUCUGCUCUUCGUGAAAAGCAUCUGUUUUACCUGUACCAUCAAAUACAGACUGAAUGCAGAUGGUCAGGUCUCCACAAUGGCUUCUGAAUCUCCAGCAGUCAUGCUGACCUCCAAUUCAAAGGUUUAAUGUUAGCAGGGCAUUUGGUGACAAUCUGAAAAAAAAACAAACAAAUAUUUUGGAUCAGAUUGUGUUGGCUUUUUUUUUUUUUUUUGGCUUGUCAAAAUAUAGCAAAAGCACUUAUUGACCAUCUGCUUCUUUGCUUUCUAUUGAGGAAAAAAUUAUGCAUCAGUUGUAAUAUGAAUUUUAAAAACUCAUGGUCAUUAUAACAUGCAUUUUUUGUCUUUCUUUGGUUUCAACCAAUUUUAAUUUAUAGAAUACAAAUCUCUUCAGAAUGAUACAUUCCUUAAUUUAAUCAAUGAUACAAGGCCUAAAUAUUUCUUGUAUUUAAACAGAAAUACAGGUUAAAAGUAUAUGAACACAGAACGCAAAAUGUUUUUACUUAAGCAGCUACAUAAAUGAGGCUGUUCAAGUUUCUUCACAACCAUGUUGUAACUACUGAACAAAUUAUGCUUAACAAUAGUAAAGAUGUAAAAACUUCACAUUUAAACACGAAAAUAUGCAACAACAACAAAAGAAGUAUCUUCAUUACCAAAGAGCUUAAUUAAUUCAUCCUCAGACACUGAGGCAUAGCAAAACACCUACAUCAAAGGUUGCAUUCAUUUGAAAGGUAUCAAUAUACUAUGUUAGCUAUAAUGUUAAAUUGGUAAAUUGUAGCAUAAUUAAAUCUGUUUCUCAAAUGUGAACUUUAGUAGUCUAGUGCUGCUUUUUAUAUGCUCUAAGUACUACAAAUAGUCUCAAAGCUGAACACGUAUUGAUACAAUAAGCAUGUUUGAUAAUUCAUGAAGCAUGUAACAAACUACUCUUCAUAGUGAAGGUUGUAUAACUGUUAGCAUUAUUUUUUUGAUAACCAUAAAAUACAUUCUUGUAGGAUUAGUUUUCAAAAAACUUUCCUAAGAGAAAUGGGGAAUAAUUUUCCCUGAGUUGGAUGGUAAUUCGUUCACUUGUAAAAUAUGGCAUAACCAAGAAUAACAAUCUCCAAGGGACUGACUGACUUAUUGUACUGUUGUGUCUUUUAAUAAAUACUGA